rnacentral:rRNA from 1 species
CUGAAUUUAAGCAUAUUAAUGAGGGGAGGAAAAGAAACUAACAAGGAUUUUCUUAGUAGCGGCGAGCGAAAAGAAAAUAGUUCAGCACUAAGUCACUUUGUCUUUAUGGCAAAUGUGAGAUGCAGUGUAUGGAAUGUCAAAUUUCUAGUAUGAGAAAUUAACGAUUUAAGUCCUUCUUAAAUGAGGCCAUUUACCCAAAGAGGGUGCCAGGCCCGUAUAACGUUAAUGAUUACUAGAUGGCAUUUCCAAAGAGUCGUGUUGCUUGAUAGUGCAGCACUAAGUGGGUGGUAAACUCCAUCUAAAACUAAAUAUAACCAUGAGACCGAUAGUAAACAAGUACCGUGAGGGAAAGUUGAAAAGAACUCUGAAUAGAGAGUUAAAUAGUACGUGAAACUGCUUAGAGGUUAAGCCCGAUGAACCUGAAUAUCCAUUAUGGAAAAUUCAUCAUUAUGAUUUUAAUAUUUAUAAUAUUAUAAUAAUGGUGUGCAUUUUUUCUAUAAAGGACAUUGUAAUCUAUUAACAUACAUUAAUUUAUCAUAAGAUCAUUUGCGUAAGUUUAUUCAAAUUAUUUUGCUUGCAAUUUAAUAUCGAAUAAAUGCUUUUGAUUUGAUAAAGUGUUGAUAGAUUUAUUAUAUACAGUGCUUAAAUAUUUAUAUUUUAUAAUAGCAUAUUAAUCAAUGAUUUUUAUGUUCAUUAUAUGCACUUGUAUGAUUAACAAUGCGAAAGAUUCAGGAUACCUUCGGGACCCGUCUUGAAACACGGACCAAGGAGUCUAACAUAUUUGCAAGUUAUUGGGAAUAAAAACCUAAUAGCGAAAUUAACAUAACUUAUUUAAUGGGAUUAGUUUUUAGCCUAUUUAUAGUCUAUUAAUUCAAUCCCGGGGCGUUCUAUAUAGUUAUGUAUAAUAAUAUUUAUAUUAUUUAUGCCUCUAACUAGAGCGUACCUUGAGCAUAUAUGCUGUGACCCGAAAGAUGGUGAACUAUACUUGAUCAGGUUGAAGUCAGGGGAAACCCUGAUGGAAGACCGAAACAGUUCUGACGUGCAAAUCGAUUGUCAGAAUUGAGUAUAGGGGCGAAAGACCAAUCGAACCAUCUAGUAGCUGGUUCCCUCCGAAGUUUCCCUCAGGAUAGCUGGUGCAUUUAAAAAUUAUGUAAAAUAAUCUUAUCUGGUAAAGCGAAUGAUUAGAGGCCUUAGGGUCGAAACGAUCUUAACCUAUUCUCAAACUUUAAAUGGGUAAGAACCUCACCUUUCUUGGUAUGAAGGUUGUGGUUGUGAUAUAAUGUGCCCAGUGGGCCACUUUUGGUAAGCAGAACUGGCGCUGUGGGAUGAACCAAACGUAAUGUUACGGUGCCCAAAUUAACAACUCAUGCAGAUACCAUGAAAGGCGUUGGUUGCUUAAAACAGCAGGACGGUGGACAUGGAAGUCGUAAUCCGCUAAGGAGUGUGUAACAACUCACCUGCCGAAGCAACUAGCCCUUAAAAUGGAUGGCGCUUAAGUUGUAUACCUAUACAUUACCGCUAAAGUAGAUGGUUUAUGUUCAAUCUCGGUUGGAUUAUAAACUUUGAAACUUUAGUGAGUAGGAGGGUACAAUGGUAAGCAUAGAAGUGUUUGGCGUAAGCCUGCAUGGAGCUGCCAUUGGCACAGAUCUUGGUGGUAGUAGCAAAUAAUCGAAUGAGACCUUGGAGGACUGAAGUGGAGAAGGGUUUCGUGUGAACAGUGGUUGAUCACGAGUUAGUCGGUCCUAAGUUUAAGGCGAAAGCCGAAAAUUUUCAAGUUAUAAUGAAAAGUAAAAUUUUUACUUAGUAAUUAAACACUUGAAUAAUUUUGAACGAAAGGGAAUACGGUUCCAAUUCCGUAACCUGUUGAGUAUCCGUUUGUUAUUAAAUAUGGGCCUUGUGCUCAUCCUGGCAACAGGAACGACCAUAAAGAAGCCGUCGAGAGAUAUCGGAAGAGUUUUCUUUUCUGUUUUAUAGUCGUACUACCAUGGAAGUCUUUCGAAGAGAGAUAUGGUAGAUGGACUAGAAGAGCAUGACAUUUACUGUUGUGUCGAUAUUUUCUCCUCGGACCUUGAAAAUUUAUGGUGGGGUCACGCAAACUUCUCAACAGGCCGUACCAAUAUCCGCAGCUGGUCUCCAAGGUGAAGAGUCUCUAGUCGAUAGAAUAAUGUAGGUAAGGGAAAGUCG